rnacentral:lncRNA from 1 species
GGUGGUGGUGAACUCUAAAUGUAAGGAUACUUUAACGAUCAACCCUAUCUCACUUUCCAAUACGAGGUUGACAACACUUCUCUUAUUAUUGGAUGACCCAUUUAUAAACAUGUUCUAUGUUGUCCCCAUAUGUAAAUAUUUGAACCUUUAGUGCCUUCCUUGGCUAGAAUAAGACGUUGAAUUCGAAGAUCUCAACAUACCACUUUGUCAUCUCUCCUAUGAGAUCAGAUAUGCGGAAAACCUACUUAAGGGGUAAGUAGGUUAGGACGGCGACGACUUUCUUGAGCCUUUUACUAAUGCUAACACGAUAUAUUUUUUUUUAUCUUUUGGUAGCAUGUUUAUGACCCUGUCAGCGCUUUAAAUAUAAAGUAUAUUGGGAUUUGGACAGAGCCCGCUUUUUCGAUGAGAAUGACACUGACUAUUUCAAUUGAUAUUGCUAUGUAGAGGAACAAGGUCUCCUCGAUAGUUGGUCUACAUAGGACUGGAGAGGGUAGAAAGGGUUGCUUUUAAUGAUGCAAAUGCUUAUUCGAACUACAGGGUACACUCAAAGUGUGAUUCUUUCUUCACCAACCUGUAGAACAACAAAACGUGUUAACAUGAUCACAAGAUGAACCUAUUUAGGGUCGUGGGCACCCUGUUUAGUUUCAUUAUCCCUUUCUUUGUAAUUGGAGUUUCCAUUUUUAUCAUUGAUUCACACUUGUUUUAGUUAACUUUUAUGCCUCUCUCUAUUAAGUAAAAACCAAAAAAUUUACUUGUUAUAACCCCAAAGAGGCAUUUCUCGGGGUUAAGCCUCAUAUUAUAUUGUUAAACUCGCCUGAACACGUUGGUGAGGUGAUCAUUGUGUUGUUCUUCUUUGUUGAAUUUUACGAUCAUGUCGUCCAUGCAUACUUAUAGUGUUUCUCUGAUCUCUUCUUCGAUGAACCAAAAAUAAGUGAUGUUGAAGGCGUAAGAUCUUAUGAUAUAAUAGUAAUGACUUUUAAUACGGAGGAGCCGGAAGAACCUGUAAAGUUAACACCUCAAUGUUUAAGUUAGUGAAGUCUAAGACAUGUAGUUCGAGAAUGAGAAUGAGGUCAUGCUUGUAAUUAGCGAGUGAAAAGGUUUACUUUUUUGAUGUGAUUGAAAUUGACGGUGUCUAACCCUCGUAUGACGUGGGAGUCAUCCGAUCAUAUUUAACGAAAUGUGAUGCUUGAAAUAAAAAUUAGAUUUUUGUAUAUUUGAUUUUGAAAUAAAAUUUCAUUCUAUUCAAAGUUAGAAAUGUAUGUGUAUCGAUUCAGCUUUGAAUGACUACUUAAAAUCCAAAUUAGUCUAAUUUAAUUAAUACAAUUUAUUUUAGAUUGCUUUUUGUAUAUCCAAAUUUACAAUUUACUGGAUUGGUAAUACUAUAUAAACAUGCGAUAAAAUAAUAGAUUUGAUAUAGAAUAUAAAUUAUAUAUUAAAAUUAAUAAUUAUAAUAUAUAUUACUAUAUUAUAUAUUAUAUAAUAUUAUAUAUAUAAAUAUAUAUAUAUAUAUAUUAGUUAAGUUAAUAUUUUUUAUUAAAAAAAUUUAAAACUACCAAAGUUAAUGUAAUAUAUGAUAAUUAUAUAAAAAGUAAAAUAACUUAAAAUAUAUAAUUUUUGAUUUGGUAUAAUUUUGUAAAUUUAAUUUUAUAUUCGUAUUUUUAAUUUUAUGUCUUUAUAAAAUGGCAUAAAACACAUUCAAUAUUAUUUAAUUUUUUUGCGACUUUUAAUCUUUUUAAUUGAUUUAUAAUUUUAAUUUAAAUUAAUUUAAAUUUAAGAAAAAAAUAAAUAUAUAUUAACAAUGUACCGUCAAUCAAUAAAGAAUGUGUAUUCCAUCAAAUCACAUUUUAUUUUAAAUAUACAAUAUUAUAUAAUUAAAUAUUAAAAUUUUCUUAGAUAAUAAUAUAAAACUAUUUUACGUGUAUAAUAUACUAUUUUUAAUCUUUAAAUUUAAACACCCUUGACGUGGGUGAGAAAUCGAAACGCAAUCAGAAAUUAUCCGAGCCAAAACUUCUAUCAUUUGUAUUAGUUUAUUUAGUAUAUAUUUUUCUUAAAUAUAUAUUUUUUCUCAUAUUUUAAUUUUUUAAUUAUUUACUCUUUCUAUAAAACUCACAAAAAUUGGUUGGAUGUAUAUAUGAGAAUCAAAUUUUGGCUCUCAUAAUUGUGUGAAUUUUUAAUAGUUAUUUGUGAUUGAUUGAUUAAAAAUGUUGACUCACAGAAGUUUUUCUAUACAAGAUUAUUUUUUAUUGAUUUAUUAACAAUAUAUAAAAAAAUAUUAUCUUAAGCUUAAAUGGAUAAUAUAUUUUCUAACACAUACACGUAAGAUAUGGUCAGAUUCAUUCAAUGAGGGCUAAGAAAAUGAUAUUCUCCCCCAUUAAAAGAUAGAAAAAAGAACAUAUAAUUUAAAAUAAUUUUAUCAGAUAAAUCUAUCAACAACAACUAUGUAUAUUUUAUCACAUUACACUUUACUUUUAAAAUUACAUUUAUUAGAAAUGAAUAAUUUUUUAUUGAAUAAAAGUGUAAAAUUACUUAAACUAUCUUUAAUCUCUUAAAAAAAAUCUUAUUCAUUUAAAAACUAUUUUAAAAUUUCUCAUUGGCGAUCAGUGGCAUAAAAACCUUUCAGUUCUUUCUCUCCUUCACAAUUGUGCAAAAUUUCAGGUUUUCUCCUUCUUCCUCUCUUUCAAACCAUUUUCCUACUUCUUCUUUCUCUCGUUUUCGCUCUUAACUGUUUUUUUCACUAACUGUAACAUUUUAAUUUUUGAAGCUAUGGUGGGAGGUGGUGGCAGUAAUUCUGAUAUCUCCUUUGCCGGCACUUUCGCCAGUAGUGCUUUCUCUGCAUGUUUCGCUGAGGUACAUAUAUAUGCAUGUCUCUAUAUAUUCAUUCCCUUUUCUUUAGGUUUUCAUUAGAUUGGGAAUUCUCUUUACUGUGUAAUCUGUUUUUGUUAUGUUCUUGUUGUGUAAAAACUACUAUGUAGCACUGACACAUCUUAAAAAAGCGUCUCUAUGUUUCAGACACUUGCGAUACACUUGCACAUAUACUUAUUUUUUUAAAUUAUUAUCGGUGUCUCUAUGUCAGUGUCUAUUCAUGUUCGGGGAGUCGGUGCUUAGUAGUGUGAAACCUGUUUGGGUUUUUGAAUUUGAACCUAUUGUUUUUUGUUGUGUAUUAAAGGAUCCUACUUAAAUUGUGUUUUGACUGUGAUGGACUUUGAUUUGUGUGUUUUUAAUGUUCUGGGAAUUUGUGCUUUUGUUGUGGCAUUCGAUGUUGACAGGUUGUUGUAAUCGGAGAAAAUUAUGUAAACGUAACCUCACAUGUCUUGUGUUGUAUCAGACAUGGAGGCAUCUUGGACCUAAAGUGUUGGUGUUACAUAGAUCUAUAGUAGUAGGUCAGAAAAUUGGAUGAACUAGUGAAUGUGAUUUUUUGUAGUUAUCUAAGUUGCAUUUUUUUUCUUUUACUUUGAUUAUUACUACCCUUUUGCUUGGUCAGAGUUAAGUUGAAUAUGAGUUGGUGUGCAAAUUUGUUUUUGAUGGUAAGCUUUUCAUGAAGGUUGGCUCAAUUUGUGGUUGAGCGUAUCCAAUUGCUAGUGGUUAGUCUUAGCGGGUGUUUGGAUUGACGGUGAGUUUGGCAGAAGCACGAUGAUUUUGGCAAAACCUAAAAUUUGGAGAUUCAAUAGAAUUAUAGUUCUGCUGUGACUUCUCAAACUCACUGUGAUUCCAACACAUGUAUAGGCACAUAGGAAAUGUUUUUGUCAAGGGCUCUUGUGUUAUUAAAGGAUUUUGCUUUAAACUCAUGGCUGUUAUUUUCAAGAUGUAAUAUUGAUUAAUUACGAUUGGUCUAUGCUCGGUGAUUUGUAGUUGCAGAUCUUGGAAUUGGAUGUUGGGAUAAAUUGAUUGUUUUGUUGAAAGUCUUAAUUAUCUGUUUGGGAGGAUUUUUUUUGAAAAUGCUGUAUUUGAUAUUCGCUGACUGAAUCAGCAGUGAAGAAUGGCACAAUAGUUGAAUAGUUUCCAUAAAUUUUCCUAUGCAACAAUUUUCGAUUUAUUCACAAAUUUUCCUUGUUUAAGGAGAUCGAUUCAGCUUAUCGUAUAUAAACUAUGCUGUUUUGCACGUUCCGUUUGCUUGUUAGAUGUCAUGUUGUAGUGCUUUUUCAAGAAUUCGUUCUAACGUAUAUUGAAUAUUACAUCCUCAAAUUUAUCUUUGAUAUAGAUAUGUACUAUUCCUCUGGACACUGCCAAAGUUAGGCUUCAGCUUCAAAAGCAAGCUGUAGCCGGUGACACGAUAAACUUACCUAAAUAUAAGGGAAUGCUGGGAACAGUUGGAACCAUUGCCAGGGAAGAGGGUCUUUCAGCGCUCUGGAAGGGAAUUGUGCCAGGGUUACACCGUCAAUGUUUGUAUGGAGGUUUAAAAUUCAUUGGGUCUGAUACGCAGCCUCGUGAGUAUUGACUGUGUCUCAAGAUUGUUUAUUUAUUUGAGUUCAUAUAUCUACUUUUAGCGUAUGCAAUUGAUUGUUUGAAUUAUUUGGGAUAUUUAACAGGUUAAGAAUUUGUAUGUUGGGAAAGACCAUGUUGGAGAUGCUCCAUUGGUGAAAAAAUUCUCGCUGCAUUAACAACUGGUAAAUCCAAUUAUAUUUCUCCUAAAGCUCUCAAUACAUAAUGCGUAAUCAUGAUACAAACCUGUUUGAUUUUUCUUUAUCAACAGGCUGCUGUAGCAAUUGCAGUGGCAAAUCCUACAUCUUGUCAAAGUUAGACUUCAAGCAGAAGGAAAAUUGCCUCCUGGCGUGCAAGGCGCUACACUGGAUCAUUGAAUGCUUAUUCAACAAUUGUGAAACAGGUAUUUUCCUUUAACCUUCUAUGAUUUGUGAAAGAUAAAGAUGAUUUUAGUCCUUUUCUAUGAUCCAAACUCAUAAUUAGUCUUGUUUAAUCUCUAUCAAACAAUCAGAGGGAGUCAGAGCAUUUGGACUGGCAUUGGCCCAAUGUCGCAAGAAAUGCUAUCAUUAAUGCUGCUGAGCUAGCCAGCUAUGAUCAAGUGAAAGAGUAAUGUAAAAGAUACUAAACUGCGUUUUUAGUUAAAUUUUGCUAUUACUCCAAUUUCAUUUAUUUUAAUAGCCUGUUUUUUUCCUUCUACUGCAGACCAUUUUGAAAAUUCCAGGCUUCACCGAUAACGUUGUUACACCUCUUCUUCUGUCUUGGGCGGGUUUUUUUGCAGGUGCUGUAUUGGCUCCCCAGUUGACGUGGUAAUUUAUCAGUGUUUACUUGUGAAUAUCAAUGUUUGAUUGUGCACUUUUUAUUGUCUCAUCAUGUAUCUAUAGUGUGUUAACUAUAUGUACUACAUUCAGUUGCUUGGUGAGCUUCUAAACUAUGCAGUUUUGCCUUUUCCCUAAUUCAAUUUUUCGAAUUUCUUCUUCAGGUGAAGUCAAGAAUGACGGAGAUCCUAGUUACAAAAGCACCAUUGAUUGUUUCGUCAAAACAUUAAAAAUGAUGUAUGGUUUUUUCUGCUAUAUUACUUUUCCCUUUUCUUUUAUUUAAGCAUUAAUUGUAUAAAACAAAAUACUUCACAGAACUUGAUCAUAUCAAAUGAUAAGAGGUGGGUGCUUGGAGUAUUAUCUGCAACCAUUGCAAAUUGAACUAACAUCAUUUGAACUUUCAGUUUUCAUGGCAUCUUUAAACAUUCUCAUUUCUCACGCCUGCUUAUAUGCUAACAUAAAACUGUUCACUUUCAUUCUUACGUUACAUAAUAUGCUUUUUUUCUUUGCAACUCUCUGUUGUGGAAUGUGAAGGAAUUCUCCAAUAACUUAUUGUUUUAAUUGGAGAAAUAUUGAAAUCGGUAUGUCAUUUGAUUGUUUUGCAGGGACCUUUAGCCUUUUAUAAGGGAUUCUACCAAAUUCGACGGCUAGAUCUUGGAAUGUGAUCAUGUUUUUAACUCUCUAGAACAGGUAUGAGUUGAGUACCUUUGUGAUAAUCCAAAAUUUGGAUCAAAAUAAAAUAACAAUUUUUUAAUUUAAUCAAAACCAAACAUGUUCCAACUGUUGUUAUGAACGUACCCAAGGCAUUGAUAGUGACAAUUUAUCGUGUUAAUUGACUAUGUUCUUUGUUCUAACAUACAUUCUCACAAUUAACCUACAAAUUUUGCUGUUUUAAUUCCUAUGUUUUUUGUUUUGACGCAGACUAAAAAGUUUGUCAAAAGUUUGGAAUCGGCCUAAGCUCAACUAAGUAAGAGUAGAAUUUUAUGAGAAUGGUCUCAGGUGGUGGUGCUAACAGAAAUCACAGGAAAAUAAAACUUUUGUUCUCUUGAUUUUCCCUACUGGAAUGUGUGGGCAGUUUUGGGCGGAGUAGAAAUUAAGUAAUUAAGUAUUAAUAAAUGAUUAAACUUUUCAAGUAUGCUAGUUGUUAAAGUUUCAAAUCACUGUUUUAUUUCUUUGUAAUUUUCUUGCAAUUUUACUGAGCUGAAUAACUGUUAUGGGAAGUUUGACAAGAAACGCAACAAUACUAAGUGGCAACAUAUAUCGUUUAUAAAUCUAAUAAUCAUGCACUCUAUGUUAGUAGUAAUUU